AUUAUAAAGCAGAAGCACCCGCUUCUCACCUGUAUAACACUCUUCAGAGAGUAGUUAACUGGUUCAAUUGAUAUAAUCAGACGGUAUGUCUUUUUAUGGGCGGGUGUGCAUGCACCGGCCUUUUUUAUAUGUU
rfam:Bacillus sp. FJAT-27986 scaffolf7, whole genome shotgun sequence.